UGAUGGGAAAUCCUACGUAAAGUACC
rnacentral:piRNA from 1 species